rnacentral:rRNA from 1 species
GACGAACGCUGGCGGCGUGCUUAACACAUGCAAGUCGAACGGAAAGGCCCUGCUUGCGGGGUACUCGAGUGGCGAACGGGUGAGUAACACGUGGGUGAUCUGCCCUGCACUUCGGGAUAAGCCUGGGAAACUGGGUCUAAUACCGGAUAGGAGCCAUUUUUAGUGUGAUGGUUGGAAAGUUUUUUCGGUGUAGGAUGAGCUCGCGGCCUAUCAGCUUGUUGGUGGGGUAAUGGCCUACGAAGGCGGCGACGGGUAGCCGGCCUGAGAGGGUGGACGGCCACAUUGGGACUGAGAUACGGCCCAGACGCCUACGGGAGGCAGCAGUGGGGAAUAUUGCACAAUGGGCGCAAGCCUGAUGCAGCGACGCCGCGUGGGGGAUGACGGCCUUCGGGUUGUAAACUCCUUUCGCUAGGGACGAAGCUUUUUGUGACGGUACCUAGAUAAGAAGCACCGGCUAACUACGUG